rnacentral:lncRNA from 1 species
UCAACAUCUAUUAGAUGAGAAAAUGAGUCAGUACAGUAAUGAUGACUGAAAGUACUCCUCUUCAUCAAGUCAAAGGAAGACACCCUGUGAGACUGGCCUAUCGUUCAGCAGUGCUCUGAGGUUUCCUUCCUAGUUUCAGAAAUGCAAAUGAGAGUGGCACUGAUGUCUCCAGGCUUUGAAGAGCAGAGACUGCCUAUUGUGCUGUGGUGUGUGGCUCAGGGCAGACAGAGAGCGUACAGAGUGACGCAUUCUCAAGAGCAAGGUGUGAACCCAUGGCCAUAUGUUGUUCUAACUCAUUUACAACAACUUAUCUGGCACUGAGGUCAUUUACGUUUUUAUAGGUUUUAAUAGAGAAUGAUAUAUGUAGAUUGCUGUCUUUUGGAAAAAAGCAUGUCUGAAACAUUCUUGAGAUUCUUAUAACAGUUAUCACUUCUAUUUGUUUAUAGUUCCAGUUUAGCACAGAAGAAAACCUGGACUGUUUCUGUGUGUGAAGAUUUUAUGUCAACUUGGUCAUCAGGUUUCAGAAGACCCUGAUUGCUUCAGAGAAAAUGCAGACAUACAGACAAUGCAGACAAGAAGAUCCAAAGCUCCGUCAUCACGCCACGGCGCCAUAUUUUACAAUGGGAAACAAAGCCUCGGGCAGCGUCUCUGCCUGGUCUGGGUCACAUGCUCAUCUUGGGACUCAUGAACUGUGGCCAGAAGAGUGGGGUUCUAUCACAUGCAGCCCUCAUCAGAACCUUCACAUGUGUGGAAUCAGGGAAAGAGAAAUUUCCAAAAACAGCGGAGUUGACAUUCCUAGAAGGAGGGUCGCACCACGUCCAUACUGA